rnacentral:lncRNA from 1 species
UGCUGGGUAUAUAAGGAAGGACGAGACAAAAAGCACUUCAGUGUUUUACCUCACUUGUGGUAUACAGUUCCAGCUUCGUCUCUCGAAGGUGGUCUGUAUGAUGCAUGAAGCUACGGUUGGUAAGAACUUAGUAUCUCGUGAUGCGUGAAUAUUAACACCUACAGCUGGGAUACAGCUAACUUGCUUCUAGCUUUGGCACAAGCUUCCAGCUUGUUAGUAUCAGACAAGGGAGACUUCAUAAAGAGCGUUAUCUCCAGAAGUGUAUUCAUGGACAAGCAGCAACGAGCGAGGCAGGAGGACUUGGAGGUGGUCGUUCUGGUACUGUGCUACAUAACUGGUCUCACACUGGAGGGCUCGGGCGACCACAGCCAGACAACAGAAGGCAGAGAGGACAGUCUCCGGGUACUGAAGACCAUCUCUAACGACGGCAUAAAGUGUCACGAUAUUGCCUGUCUGUGUGACCAGCCUUUGAUAUAUUUUUGCCAGGAAAUUGUCUGGUUUACUCGAUUACUCAGUUGUAAAUUAGUUUAAAACUUGCUCAUAAUUUGUAGUACCUUAGCCAGGAGGUCUGUUAAUGCUUCGUGUCUGAAGACUUGCCACUAACGACCUGGUGUCGUUAGGGUAACUUUGUUUAGCCUAAUAAAUCCUUAACUCGUUAAGGAAACUAUUAAUGGCUUGUCACAAUGACGGUUACAAUGCAAAGGAGGGAUAUGUGAGCCACCAUAUGUACAUCAGUUCCUCUACACAAGAGUACUGGUCUGUAGUGUAGGUGGAUUACUUGUAAGACCUGGUUAUGGCACUGUUUUGGGCCUCGCUCCCAGUGACCUCACUAGGUAUCUUAAGAUGGAAUUUUGUCCUGUGCUUUGUUUGACAGUUAGUAUUUGGAAGAAUCCUAAACGUUCGUUGACUCUCCAGGGUUCUAAAAUACAUUUUACAGGUUUAUAUAUAUUUUUUUUAAGGGGGGGGGGGGGGGCUACUAAAUGACUUUGUUGCCUCUCUCCAUAUUACGACCCAGUAUAGUAGGUAAAUAUCUCUUGCUCUUCUUGUACAGCGCCCUCUGAUUAUUCCGCACAUUUGAUGGUGCUACAUAACCUUCCCGGUUUGGUGCCUUUUUGAUAAUUACCUGCUUUUUCUUGUACAAAUCAUUUCAUAUUGAUCUGGAUAAUGGCAUGGAUAAUUUCAUAUUUUAAUGUUUUAGGAGAAACUUCCCCACAUUUGCAUGAAAUUCUAGAAAGACUAAACUAACGGAAGUAAAUCCCUCUGAAGUAUCCAACGAAAUUCUCAUUGGCAUCCUUGGUGGAUAUUUAGCGCCUUUUAAUUAUUCCACACAUUUGAUGGUGCUACAUGGCCUUCCCGGCUUGGUGCCUUCUCUGAUAAUUACUAACCUGCUUCCAGUGAAAUUUUGGUUAGUGCAUCACCAUCUUCUGUGCAAAAUGUUCCAUGUUGAGCUUGUUACAUUAAAGUUUUAUGUGAACUAA